rnacentral:misc_RNA from 1 species
CGGUGCUGCACCAGAUAUUUGUGUGAGAAGAAUGUCUUUCCACACCCUUUGACAGGACAAAUAUUUCUUUUGUGCAAUGCUAGCUCAUGUUUUGAGCCAAAGCUCAUGGCGCACCCCUCUAUGUCACACUGAUAUUCUGCAUCCUCAUCCUUAUUUUUCACACUCUUCUGGCCAUUUGGAGGCUUCCCAGCUGAAGAACUCUUCACUUUCUUCCUACUGCUUUGCAGCUUAUCUUUUAGCUUUGUUUCUGACUCCUUUGAAGGCUUUGAGGGCCUUUUCCUAAGGCGUGUACUGGGUCCACCUUCUAGCUCUUCUUCAACACGUGAUUCGAACUGUCUUGUAUUACGCUCACCUUUAGCAUUCCAAAGCCGAGGAGUUUCUUGCUUCAUUUGCUUAUCUUGUUUGAUUGAUUGGAGAUUCUCUCUCCUUUUUAG